rnacentral:rRNA from 1 species
GACGAACGCUGGCGGCGUGCUUAACACAUGCAAGUCGAACGGUGAUGCUCCAGCUUGCUGGAGUGGAUCAGUGGCGAACGGGUGAGUAACACGUGAGCAACCUGCCCCAGACUCUGGAAUAAGCGCUGGAAACGGCGUCUAAUACUGGAUACGAAACUGGCCCGCAUGGGCAUGGUUUGGAAAGUUUUUCGGUUUGGCAUGGGCUCGCGGCCUAUCAGCUUGUUGGUGAGGUAAUGGCUCACCAAGGCGACGACGGGUAGCCGGCCUGAGAGGGCGACCGGCCACACUGGGACUGAGACACGGCCCAGACUCCUACGGGAGGCAGCAGUGGGGAAUAUUGCACAAUGGGCGAAAGCCUGAUGCAGCGACGCCGCGUGAGGGAUGACGGCCUUCGGGUUGUAAACCUCUUUCAGCAGGGAAGAAGCGAAAGUGACGGUACCUGCAGAAGAAGCACCGGCUAACUACGUG